AGCGGCGUGCCUGAUGCAUGCAAGUCGAACGGUCUGAUAAUUCGUAAGGAUUAUCAGGGAGUGGCGGACGGCUGAGUAACGCGUAAGUGACCUACCUUUAAGUGGGGAAUAACUUGCCGAAAGGCAAGCUAAUACCACAUGUGCUGGUAAGUUGAGGCUUAUCAGUAAAGUCUUAGGACGCUUGAAGAGGGGCUUGCGUCUGAUUAGCUUGUUGGUUAGGGUAAUGGCCUACCAAGGCGAUGAUCAGUAGCUGGUCUGAGAGGACGAGCAGCCAGACGGGGACUGAGACACGGCCCUGACUCCUACGGGAGGCAGCAGCAAGGAAUUUUGCGCAAUGGGCGAAAGCCUGACGCAGCGACGCCGCGUGGGGGAUGAAUGCCCUCGGGUUGUAAACCCCUUUUCUCGAGGAAGAAUAAUGACGGUACUCGAGGAAUAAGUCUUGGCUAACUACGUGCCAGCAGCCGCGGUAAUACGUAGAAGGCGAACGUUAUUCGGAUUUACUGGGCGUAAAGCGGGGGUAGACGGCCCCUUAAGUCGGGUAUGAAAUCUCCUGACUCAAUCAGGAGAGGCUAUUCGAUACUGAGGAGCUUGAGGGCAGCAGAGGAAGGUGGAAUUCCCGGUGUAGCGGUGAUAUGCGUAGAUAUCGGGAGGAACACCAGUGGCGAAGGCGACCUUCUAGGCUGUUCCUGACGUUGAGACCCGAAAGCGUGGGGAGCGAAACGGAUUAGAUACCCGUGUAGUCCACGCCGUAAACGUUGGACACUAGGUAUGGGGAGUAUCGACCCUCUCCGUGCCGCAGCUAACGCCUUAAGUGUCCCGCCUGGGGACUACGCCACAAGGCUAAAACUCAAAGGAAUU
rnacentral:rRNA from 1 species